rnacentral:misc_RNA from 1 species
UCCGGUUUGGCACCGGCAGUCCUCCCAGAGUCCCCGACUUGACUCGCUGGCAACUGGGAGCGGGGGUUGCGCUCGUUGCGGGACUUAACCCAACAUCUCACGACACGAGCUGACGACAGCCAUGCAGCACCUGUGCAGGGACUCCGAAGAGGGGUCCUGGUUUCUCAGGACUUUCCCCUGCAUGUCAAGCCCAGGUAAGGUUCUUCGCGUUGCGUCGAAUUAAACCACAUGCUCCACCGCUUGUGCGGGCCCCCGUCAAUUCCUUUGAGUUUCAGCCUUGCGGCCGUACUCCCCAGGCGGGGCACUUAAUGCGUUAGCGCCGGCACCCAGGGGGUCGCUCCCCCAGGCACCUAGUGCCCAUCGUUUACGGCGUGGACUAC